CCAGAAAUAACCAUUGUCUUCAGGCUCAAGUUCUAUUCUAAUUUGAGGCACAACUUUCACUGGAGUUCGUGGAGGGCUGAAUGCAAAAAGAAAACAAGGAGGAGGGGCAGCAUUCCUCUUCAGGGGAGCAUCCUUCCUCUCCCAGCCACAGGAGUCAGGUUCUUCAUGGAGCAGAGGAAGAAGUAACCCCACUAACACUAGCCCAAACUCUCUGCAUCAUUGUACUUUAAUAGUUAAAGCCCCAUUGUCCUUUCAUUGUCAUUCAGCUGGGGGUAAAGAGAGCCAACUCCCCAAGAGAAAGAGGGCGAUUUAAUAGACAGGUGACCUCAAAUUGAGCCUUGGUAGGAAAAUGCUUUAAAGGCACAAGGGCAAUAUUUUUGUUUAAGUGUAUAUGGAACAAAAAAAACCCAACUGAAGUAUUCUAAGGCACAUGGAUCAGUCACAGCACUUAAGAGCAACAUUAGCAGCUAUGCUUCAUUAUUUUAA